rfam:TPA: Bos taurus chromosome 15, whole genome shotgun sequence.
UCCCUGGUGGCUCAGAUGGUAAAGCAUCUGCCUACAAUGCAGGAGACCCGGGUUCAAUCCCUGGGUUGGGAA